AGUACUUACUAAAGGUUAAUGAAAUCAAGAUUAAAAAAGGAGUUGAUUUACUUCAGAACUUGAUCAAAUAUUUUCAUGCACAGUGCAAUUUCUUCCAGGAUGGACUGAAAGCUGUUGAAACCCUCAAACCCUCCAUUGAAACUCUUUCAACGGAUCUUCACAUAAUCAAACAGGCCCAGGAUGAAGAAAGGAAACAGUUAAUACAGCUACGAGAUAUUUUAAAAUCAGCACUCCAGGUUGAACAAAAAGAGGAUUCACAAAUUCGGCAAAGUACAACCUAUAGUUUACACCAACCUCAGGGAAAUAAAGAACAUGGGACUGAAAGGAAUGGUAAUCUCUACAAGAAAAGUGAUGGGAUCAGAAAAGUAUGGCAAAAAAGGAAAUGCUCAGUUAAAAACGGUUUUCUGACAAUAUCCCAUGGUACAG